GUAUAAUGCUAGAGCCUACAAGUCUAUCUUCCAAAGAACACAUUUUGCAGUUUGAAAAAUUAGGAUUGCUUCCACCGGCCAAAAAGCGCCAAGCGUAGAAACUAAGAGAUCAAUUUUAGGGCAAGUUUGCAGUAUCAAUGUGACUGCCCAUCAUCUCUGAGUCUCUGCAAAAGUGAAGUGAUCUCUUCAACAUGUCUCUACAUCUCAAGAAGCGCUACUCCACCUCUAAACCUUGCAGCUGCAAAUGUCCACUAAAGCUCAACAAUUGCUCUUAUUCGAUUCGAUUCUUAUAUACGCCCGCGCCCAGCCACGAAUAGAUAGUGUUCAUCACAACACGAAAUUCGAAAACGAACAAUCAACAACAACAAAAAGCACUCGACAGUCAUCUCAUUUAUAUCAGACAUUAUUAUUAUGCUAGAGAGGGGCCCCUCACAGUAGUCAGUAUCUUUAUUCAUUUUUGUGACAGCAGUAUAUCACAACAAGUGGCAGUAUCUGCUCUUGAGCACUGACUAAUUAAAUGAUCUGACAACACGAGACCACUGGGUGGAAUAUUGAAGUCAAGUCUAUCCACUACUGAACUAUUGUGAACUAAUGAAGUCUAUCUGAACUAUAUUGAAGUACUGAAGUCUAUCCACUACUUAUGAAGUCAAGUCUGGAACAUUUCUACUAACAUCACUGACACUGACACUGGCUAUCAACACUGCAGAUGGUGGUACUCACGCACAGACUGGUUGUGGUCUAAUAGUUAUAACUAAAUAUUGAGCCUUAUACGUACUGUUAUCAAGCCUUAAAUCGUGUCUACUAAUGUCUACCCCCUAAUAAUCUAUUUCUCGCACUGCAUAGUUCUUGCUCUGGGGGACCAACUGGCAGAUCUGACACCCUGCACUGCAGAUGGUGACAUUUCAAGAAUCUACAUGAUUAUUAUGGGUUGUAGUUUGGCAUUAGAUAGUUAUCAAGCAAGCCUGGUAUAUUAGCAUGUAUGAGUACUAUCAGGCACUCCUGGUACUAUAUUGAUGUGUCCUAAUCUAUUUCUUACACUACAUGGUUCUUGCUCUGGAGGGGACCAACUGGCGGAAUUUCUAUAGAAAAGACUCUUUUAUGUCCGACACACUGGAUACUGGCAGCAUAUCGAGAACCUACAUAUCGGUUGUGGUCUAACGAUUAAUAUAUUGAGCCUUACACCAUUCUAUCAAGCCUUGUGUAUAUUCGUACAUGUAUGAUUACUACUGAUGUGUCCUACCCCAACAACCAACUGCUUUACUAUAGUCUGUCUCUUUCAAACCUUGCAUCCCUGUAGAACCACUCACCAGCUGCAUGUAUUGUGUGCUUCAGACGUACCUAUAGUAUACUUCCUAUAACCCUAUUCUAACCAAAUUCUCCCACUACAUGGUUCUAGCUCUGGAGGACCAACCGGCAGAAUUUCUAGAAAGACUCGUUUAUUCGACAUGCUGGACGAACUACUUGUGGCAUUUCACUAUCAAGAAUCUACAUGUCGCUUGUGGUGGUCUGACAAUUAUUCUAAAUAAUAAUUAUUCUUAUUUGAGCCUUAUACAGUAACAAGCCUUGUGUGUUACAUGACAUGAGUACCUAACCCCAUGCACCCUACCCCCUAAUAAUCUAUUUCUCCCACUACAUGGUUCUAGCUCUGGAUGACAACUGGCGGAACUUCUAUAAAAGACUCGUUUAUAUCCGACACUGGAUCGACAGCAUUUCAAACAAGAAUCUAUAUAUCGGUUGUGGUCUAACAAGUUUAAAAUAAUAUUGAGCCUUAUAUACAGCUAGUUACGUAGCAAGCCUUGUGUACAUGUGUGUGCUCUGUGUCCUAACCUCUACCCCUGGUGUCAUACAUGCAUUAUAGAGUUCUAGCUGGCUCUUGGGGACCAACUGGCAGAAUCUCUAGAAAGAACUCGUUUUUAUUCGACACACUGGCAUUUCACUAUCAAGAAUCUACAUAAUUAUAUCGGUUGUGGUCUGACAAUUAUUCUUAUUUGAGCCUUAUACAGUAACAAGCCU